rnacentral:rRNA from 1 species
AUUGAACGCUGGCGGCAGGCCUAACACAUGCAAGUCGAGCGAGCGGCGGACGGGUGAGUAAUGUAUGGGGACUGCCCGAUAGAGGGGGAUAACUACUGGAAACGGUGGCUAAUACCGCAUACUGUCGGAUAACCCAUAUGGGAUUAGCUAGUAGGUAAGGUAAUGGCUUACCUAGGCGACGAUCCCUAGCUGGUCUGAGAGGAUGAUCAGCCGGCAUGGGACAGAGACCCGGCCCAGACGCCGACGGGGACAGCAGUGGGGAAUAUUGCAGAAUAGGCGCAAGCCUGAUGCAGCGAUGCGGAGGGUAUGAAGGAGGCCCUAGGGGUGUAAAGUACUUUCAGUCGGGAGGCGUUACCGACAGAAGAGGCACCGGCUAGCUCCGUACCAGCAGCCGCGGUAAUAC